GCCUCAUUAGCUCAGUGGUUAGAGCACUGGUCUUAUAAACCAGAAGUCCAGAGUUCAACUCCCUGAUGAGGCU
rnacentral:tRNA from 1 species